ensembl:snRNA U6 U6 spliceosomal RNA
GUGCUUGCUUUGGCAGCAUAUAUACUAAAAUUGGAAUGAUACAGAUAUUAGCAUGGUCCCUGCUCAAGGAUGGCAUGCACGUUUGCAAGCAUUCCAUAUUUAA